rnacentral:lncRNA from 1 species
CGCUGUCGAGGGCCGAGUACAUCAUACGGUUGAUCCAUGCGCUGAUCCCGUUCCCGGAUCGGUUGAACCUAACAAAAAAAAUAAAUUAUUAAUAAAAAAUAGUUUAAAAAUUAAAAAUAGUUUAAAAAAUAAAAGUUUAAAUUACCAUGUUUGACCAUGUCCAUGUGGAUACUCAGUGAGAUAGGGAAGAUGGUCACGACCGGGCUGUCGAACCAACUCCGCAACCC